AGUGAACGCUGGCGGUAGGCCUAACACAUGCAAGUCGAACGGCAGCACAGUAAGAGCUUGCUCUUACGGGUGGCGAGUGGCGGACGGGUGAGGAAUACAUCGGAAUCUACUUUUUCGUGGGGGAUAACGUAGGGAAACUUACGCUACUACCGCAUACGACCUACGGGUGAAAGCAGGGGAUCUUCGGACCUUGCGCGAUUGAAUGAGCCGAUGUCGGAUUAGCUAGUUGGCGGGGUAAAGGCCCACCAAGGCGACGAUCCGUAGCUGGUCUGAGAGGAUGAUCAGCCACACUGGAACUGAGACACGGUCCAGACUCCUACGGGAGGCAGCAGUGGGGAAUAUUGGACAAUGGGCGCAAGCCUGAUCCAGCCAUACCGAGUGGGUGAAGAAGGCCUUCGGGUUGUAAAGCCCUUUUGUUGGGAAAGAAAAGCAGCAGGUUAAUACCCCGCUGUUCUGACGGUACCCAAAGAAUAAGCACCGGCUAACUUCGUG
rnacentral:rRNA from 1 species